CUCAGUCCUGUCUGCUUGCUGACCAACUCUGGUAUUCUCCCAGGAUGUGACUUGCCCCCUUCUCAGGGGAAAUGUUACCAUAUCGGAGUACCAGCUACCACACUUUCUGAAACCAAGGCAUGGACCCGAAUCCUGCUAAUUUCCAGAAACAAAGACUAGGGUUUUAGAAGAGUAUGCUCCAGGACUCAGGCUUCUGCCAUUAAGUGAGGAAAGCAGUCUGAAUGCAUGUCAUCCUUCUUUCUGAAGCACACAAAGAAAAAAGCUGAUUUGUUCACCUCAUGCAUGGACUUAAUACA